AGAGUUUGAUCCUGGCUCAGGAUGAACGCUGGCGGUAUGCCUAACACAUGCAAGUCGAACGAUGUCUUCGGACAUAGUGGCGGACGGGUGAGUAACGCGUGAGAAUCUGCCUCUAGGAUGGGGAUAACGGUUGGAAACGACCGCUAACACCCAAUAUGCCGUAAGGUGAAAAAUUUAUUGCCUGGAGAGGAGCUCGCGUCUGAUUAGCUAGUUGGUGGGGUAAGAGCUCACCAAGGCUUCGAUCAGUAGCUGGUCUGAGAGGAUGAGCAGCCACACUGGGACUGAGACACGGCCCAGACUCCUACGGGAGGCAGCAGUGGGGAAUUUUCCGCAAUGGGCGAAAGCCUGACGGAGCAAUACCGCGUGAGGGAGGAAUGCCUUUGGGUUGUAAACCUCUUUUCUCAGGGAAGAAGAUCUGACGGUACCUGAGGAAUAAGUAUCGGCUAACUCCGUGCCAGCAGCCGCGGUAAUACGGAGGAUGCAAGCGUUAUCCGGAAUCAUUGGGCGUAAAGCGUCCGCAGGUGGUUUCCAAAGUCUGCUGUUAAAGACUGGAGCUCAACUCCGGAACGGCGGUGGAAACUUGGAAACUAGAGUUCGGUAGGGGUAGCAGGAAUUCCCAGUGUAGCGGUGAAAUGCGUAGAUAUUGGGAAGAACAUCGGUGGCGAANGCGUGCUACUGGACCGUAACUGACACUCAGGGACGAAAGCUAGGGGAGCGAAAGGGAUUAGAUACCCCUGUAGUCCUAGCUGUAAACGAUGGAAACUAGGUGUGGCUUGUAUCGACCCGAGCCGUGCCGUANCU
rnacentral:rRNA from 1 species